GGCAAAGAAAGAAAAUCAGUUUGAUUCAAUGGCUUCUUCAAGUGGAAUUGGAAAUAAUGAUGAGUUAACUCCUUUACAAAAGCAUGUAAUGUUUUUUGAUAUUAACAAAGAUGGAAUUAUCUAUCCUUGGGAAACAUAUCAAGGUUUUAGAAAAUUGGGACGUAAUGUUUUUCGUUCACUUUUAGCUGCUGUUCUCAUCCAUGUUGUUACAAGUGGCAAGACUCGACCGGGAAAAUGGCCAUCUCCACUAUUUCCAAUAGAGAUUAAAAAUAUAAAAUUUGGCAAACAUGGCAGUGAUUCUGAUGCCUAUGAUUCUGAAGGAAGGUUUGUGCCAGAGAAAUUUGAGGAAAUUUUCAAGAAAUAUGCACAUAACAAUUCAGAGUCCUUAACAUCAGAAGAAGUGAAUGAAUUGCUCAAGAAAAAUAGAGAACCUAAGGACUACUUUGGAUGGCUUAAUGCUAUGACAGAUUGGAGGAUUUUAUUUGAUGUGGGGAAAAAUAAGGAUGGGAUAUUGACUAAAGAAGCAGUAAGAGAUGUUUAUGAUGGAACCCUUUUUGAACAAAAGGCAAGAGAAGUUGCUGCAAAG
rnacentral:misc_RNA from 1 species